GAUGAAGAACGUAGCGAAAUGCGAUACUUGGUGUGAAUUGCAGAAUCCCGUGAACCAUCGAGUCUUUGAACGCAAGUUGCGCCCGAAGCCAUUAGGCCGAGGGCACGCCUGCCUGGGCAUCACACGUCGUUGCCCCCCCAUCUACUCCUUCGGGAUUGCGGGGGGCGGAUGAUGGCCUCCCGUGCGCCUCGUCGCGCGGUUGGCAUAAAUGCCAAGUCCUCGGCGACGCACGCCACGACAAUCGGUGGUUGCGAAACCUCGGUUGCCCGUCGUGUGCGGUCGUCGCGCAUCGAGGGCUCGAAAAAAUUGCCGGGCUCCGGCUCGGCUUUCAACGCGACCCCAGGUCAGGCGGGGUUACCCGCUGAAUUUAAGCAUAUCAAUAAGCGGAGGA
rnacentral:misc_RNA from 1 species